rnacentral:misc_RNA from 1 species
GAUGAAGAACGCAGCGAAAUGCGAUACGUAAUGUGAAUUGCAGAAUUCAGUGAAUCAUCGAGUCUUUGAACGCACAUUGCGCCCCCUGGUAUUCCGGGGGGCAUGCCUGUCCGAGCGUCAUUGCUGCCCUCAAGCACGGCUUGUGUGUUGGGCCUCCGUCCUCCUCCCGGGGGACGGGCCCGAAAGGCAGCGGCGGCACCGCGUCCGGUCCUCGAGCGUAUGGGGCUUCGUCACCCGCUCUGUAGGCCCGGCCGGCGCUUGCCGAUCAACCCAAAUUUUUAUCCAGGUUGACCUCGGAUCAGGUAGGGAUACCCGCUGAACUUAAGCAUAUCAAUAAGCGGAGGA